CAUAAGAGAGUGUAGCCAGGUAGGAAGCAGGCCCAUACAGCAGCUCUGCUGGAAACUCCACAAAGGUGGAAGCCCAGGGUUUCUCCUAGCACUUGGAGCCCAUGGCCCCACAUGGGGCUAGUCAACAACAAAUCGUUGUUCCAUAAAUGAAUGAAUGAAUGAACCUGUCACAUAGUGGCAAAGGGUGACCAAGGGGCUUGACUCUGGAUGAAAUCUGUCAAACUAGACCAGAAAACCAAAGGCUAAGAACCUUUGUUUUGAGCAGGAGAAAACCCUGUCUUUUCGACAGUCUUUUCUUAUGUUGUAUGUAUUUUCUUGCUUUGCCUCCUGUCCUGGCCUGGAAGCUCACUGAGGGCAGAGUGCUCAUCUUAACUCUUCUCUUUUUUUGAGACAGAGUCUUGCUCUGUUGCCCAGGCUGGAGUGCAGAGGUGCAAUCUCGGCUCACUGCAAUCUCUGCCUCCCAGGUUGAAGUGAUUCUCCUGCCUCAGCCUCCCAUGCAGCUGGGAUUACAGACAUGUGCCAUCAUGCCCAGCUAAUUUUUGUAUUUUAGUAGAGACAAGGUUUCACCAUGUUGGUCAGGCUGCUCUCAAACUCUUGGCCUCAGGUGAUCCACCCGCCUCGGCCUCAAAAAGUGCUGGGAUUACAGGCAUGAGACACUGCGCCCAGCUACUUGUUUUAACUCUUUUGGUCUUUUUCUUCUUUUAGAGGGCAUUGUGCAUGGCAUGAGAUGCUAAAUGAUGCUGAACCCAUGAAAGAAUCCAGACUGUCAUCUUCAUCACCAUCAUUAUCACCAUCAUAUUCACCUUUGUCAUCAUUUUUAUCAUUUUCCUUCAUCAUCAACCUUCAUUAUCUUCAUCAUCUUUUUCUUCCCCUUUGUUGAUUUCAUUUUCCCUCGGAAUAGUGUUGUGCUGAUUUCUAAGUACUUUCACGGGUAUGAUUCUGUGGCGGUAUACACUUGUGCUCUCUAGCUGACCGGGUUAGGAUUUUCCUUGUAGUCAGCAUCAGCAUCAGCCCCUCUUCUUGGGCACCUGCUACUGGUUCUGCUUGUUCUCCUGAUUCUCCAGGCACAUCUUUAGGAAUAGGCAGCUUUAGGUGCAGUGAGGAAACAUAAGCUAGUAUUUAUUAUAGUAAAAGAGAAAUUCGUUAAAUCACUAGGCAAAAAUCAAUAAUUCAAACAAAGAAAAAGGGACUAAAAGCAAAGUUGCAUUGCUUUCAGUAAUGUAAAGUACUCUGCUUUGACCCUAUUUUGGCCAGUGUUCUUAGUGAAGAAUGCGCCAGUUCUUAAAUAUCACAUGACUUCCUUAUUAGUCUUAACAAAAUAACAAAGAACUGUGCAUAUGAGAAUGGUUAGAGCAGCCUUUUCAUCUUACUGAUAUCAAUACAAAUAAAGAGAUAUUUUGCUGCAACAGGUCCUGGCUUCAAAAAGAGCCAUAAAUGCCUGGUUUUUUUUUUUAAUCAUUUCUGACUCUUGGUUUUCAGAGCAUUUGAUCUCUCUUCUUUCUCUCUCUGGCAUCCUCUAUCACAAGCAUGAAGUGGAGAUUCGUGGAGCCCUCGAGCCAGUUCUUUGGUUUUCAGGGCCUCUGCUCCUGUGGUCACCUGAGGACUGACUCAAGCUGAUGGAAGCCUUGACAUGUGCUCCCACCAUCUCCCUGGCAAGUGAAGAAGGUGUGAUGACUCAUGGCUUGGCUCUCUAAAGUUCAACCUUCUAUAUACAAACCAUCGGUCACAGACAGUUAUAUGGCCACCCUAAUUUCAAAAGAGAGAAGUACAAUCCCACCAUGUGCUCACAGAGGGGAGAACUAGGGGAAGUCAUAGAUUUGAAGCCCUUGGAGGGAUUUGGCAUGCCACUGCUGGCUCAGAGAUGGAGGCAGCCACAUGUCAAGGAGUGUGGGCAUCCUUCAGGAGCUGCGAGUAGCCCCACCUGACAGCCAGCAAGGAAACAGUGACCUCAGACCUGCAGCUGCAAUCAGUCGGCAACCUGAAUGAGCGUGGAAGCAGAUUCUUCCCUG